AAACGUAGGAGGCGAGCGUUAUCCGGAUUUAUUGGGCGUAAAGGGCAAGUAGGCGGUAGGCAAAGUUGGUUGUGACAUCUCCUGGCUCAACUGGGAGGGUGCGGCCAAAACUAGCAUACUAGAGGGCAGAAGAGGGAAGUGGAAUUCCUGGUGUAGCGGUGGAAUGCUCAGAUACCAGGAGGAACACCAGUGGCGAAGGCGGCUUCCUGGUCUGCACCUGACGCUGAGAGGCGAAAGCUAGGGGAGCGAACGGGCUUAGAUACCCCGGUAGUCCUAGCCGUAAACGUUGGAUACUGGGUAUUUGGGAGGUAAGACUUCUGAGUGCCGAAGCAAACGCGUUAAGUAUCCCGCCUGGGGACUACGGCCGCAAGGUUAAA
rnacentral:rRNA from 1 species